GACAGAGGCCUCGAGCGUUAGGCGGAAUCACUGGGCUUAAAGCGUGUGUAGGCGGACCCCUAAGUGUCUUGUGAAAUCCCACGGCUCACCCGUGGAACCGCUGGGCAUACUGGGGGUCUUGGGCCAUUCAGGGGCGACUGGAACAAGCGGUGGAGCGGUGAAAUGCGUAGAUAUCGAGAGGAACACCUGCGGCGAAGGCGGGUUGCUGGGCUGACACUGACGCUGAGGCGCGAAAGCCAGGGGAGCGAACGGG
rnacentral:rRNA from 1 species